CAGGGGAGGAGCUGAAGAUGAACACAAAGAGCUCAAUGAUUCAUCACCUUCACUCUGUGAUGUUGUGACCAAGUCUAUGAUUUGCUGUGGGAUAACUCUCCCCAGGCCUCAACAAGCAACACAGAUGUGAAAAGGAUCAUGUGGUCUAAAUGCGUGAAACCUGAACUUCCCUGGCACAGUAAGGCUGCCAGCAGUGUGAGAAGGUGUUUUGGGAAGAUGUCACCAGUCAAGACCGCCGUGCACACUGAACAGGAGCCUCACAUCAAAGCCACCCAGAAUGAGGGAAAACCCAGCCAGUCACAGGCCAAACACCAUGAGACACCUGUAUGGGCCCAGAGAGCCAAGGAGCAAAUUAAAAGUGCAUUGAAGCCCCUGGAAUCCCCAGCCAAUAAGGAGCCAACCUUAACAACUGCACCACAAACACCUGAGUGUAGCAACAAGGCAGGAUGGUUUAAUGUACUUGAGAACCAGCCCAGGACAAAGUCAGCCCGGGAGAGUGUGAGGGUCCAUCAGAUGACACCAGAUGACGUCAGUCUAUUUUAUUUUCUUGAGAAUCAACACGCUCAGCAAGUUGAAACAAUUGAAGAUAUUGUGACCUGCUUAAUAAGCGAAAUCUAUUAUGAUGAGACAGGUACCCAACUAGACACCCCCAUUCUUGGCCUGAGUGAAACAGCUUUGGACCUCAUUGAUAAUGUGGUUGAUGAGUUAAAUAACACCCCAAGUGAUCUGUUUGGUUUACAUACCGACGAGUCUCUGGUCCUCCCAUCUAGUUAUAAACAUCAUGUGGCCAAGAGUGUUCACAAAGAAUUGCUUUCCUGCACUGGUUCCCAAGAAAGCUUGUGGAAGGCUGUAUCAUCGGGACACAUGGUGAAAGAGAUUGCCAGCUCAAUUUCUCUGGAGGUGUCCAAAGUAACCAGCAGGAUUGGGGCUGUCUAUCACACUAGUGUCGAUCACACUGAUAAUCCAAUCUCACCCGGCCCCAGAACAGACACAAAUGCUUCCUGGGUGUCCUGUGCAGCCUCAGACAUCUCUGAAGAUCUUGUCCUCAGAAUCCUAGACUUCAUAUCAUACUGUCGGUCACCAGACAGCACCUGGAAUGGGCCACAGAGCCGAUGCUCCACUGACAUGACCGGAGAUCUCAUGGAUGCAGUCAUGGUGGAGCUCUUCACUAACACAGCCAUGCUGACGAUUCCAGUAGGUGAGCACCAGAAAAAAUGGUGUAAACCCUCCCCUACAGAUCUGGAGAAAGCUGCCAGAUUAGUGUAUAAGAAGAUGGUAAAGGAAACUGGCUCAGCUGAGGCUUUGCAAGACGCUCUCAAGCUCAAAAGGAAGUGUGUAGUCACAGCACUGGCUGACGUAGUGGCAAAGCAAGUGUACAAGCUCUUCUCAGAAGAGGAGUCAGACUCCACAUAUCUCCCAGACCAAACCAGCCACAAAGAUGACUGCCCUGUUACAAGCCACAGUAACAGACAUCUCACACCUGAGCUUGCUGCUGCUCAAUCUGCCAGUGAGUGCAUAGUGAACUGCAAGGCUGUGUGGGAGAUCAUCUCCAGACUGCUGCAGGAGCUUUGUCCUAACGUGCCCAUGGAUGAAAAGCCCCAACUUUAUGCUCAGGAUCUUUUUCAUAGUGCUAUAAAUAAGCUGUCUGAGUCUCCAGGGGUAGCAGUAUGUGCUGAUGAGACUAUCUGUGACGUCUGCCGCCAUCCACAGGCCAUUGAGUUAAUCUGCGGCCGUGUUCUGGAGUGCCUGCAAUUUCAGAUUAACCUCAUGGGCUACAAUUUAAGCUCUGCCCUGGAUGCCCAAGAUGAGGCUCUCAGCUACUUUAUUGUUGCUCAUCUUGUGCAAGAGACCCUGCUGUUGAUCUCAAAUCAGACCAAUGGCAGCUCCCCUGAAGUAGACUCAGGUUCCCACCAUCAACCUGAGAGUCAAACACAACCAUGUGUAGUGAGCAGCAAAGUAAAUUAUGAAGAUUGGCCCACUUGUCAGUCAAACAUCACUGUACCAAAGGGCCAUUCCACCAUUUCUGCAACCAAUGGCUUGUCACCUAGGGCUUGCCUUUCCACUGUUUCUGCAACCAAGGGCCUACCACAGAUGCCAGGUCAAACGCCACCAUAUGUAGUGAGCAGCAAAGUCAAUUAUGAAGAAUGGCCCAUGCGUCAGUCAAACAUCACUGUAUCAAAGGGCCAUUCCACCAUUUCUGCAUCCAAGGGCUUGUCACCUAGGGCUUGCUUUUCCACUGUGUUUGCAACCAAGGGCCUACCACAGAUGCCAGGUCAAACAUACACUGGCAGAAGAAGGCACACAGUCCUGAGUGUGAAAAUAAAAAAGCACUCUCACAGAGGAAUUCAUAUCACACCAUCAGAAAGGAUAAUUCGGUUGAAGGAAAUGCAGAGGGAGUCAUCUUCUGAGGUCUCAU
ensembl:lncRNA